GACGAACGCUGGCGGCGUGCUUAACACAUGCAAGUCGAACGGAAAGGCCCUGCUUUUGUGGGGUGCUCGAGUGGCGAAAGGGUGAGUAACACGUGAGUAACCUGCCCUUGACUUUGGGAUAACUUCAGGAAACUGGGGCUAAUACCGGAUAGUAGCUCCUGCUGCAUGGUGGGGGUUGGAAAGUUUCGGCGGUUGGGGAUGGACUCGCGGCUUAUCAGCUUGUUGGUGGGGUAGUGGCUUACCAAGGCUUUGACGGGUAGCCGGCCUGAGAGGGUGACCGGCCACAUUGGGACUGAGAUACGGCCCAGACUCCUACGGGAGGCAGCAGUGGGGAAUAUUGCACAAUGGGCGGAAGCCUGAUGCAGCAACGCCGCGUGCGGGAUGACGGACUUCGGGUUGUAAACCGCUUUCGCCUGUGACGAAGCGUGAGUGACGGUAAUGGGUAAAGAAGCACCGGCUAACUACGUG
rnacentral:rRNA from 1 species